GCGACCCCAGGUCAGGCGGGAGUACCCGCUGAAUUUAAGCAUAUCAAUA
rnacentral:rRNA from 1 species